AUAAAACGUUUUAAAAUAUGAAUCCAAUCUAAAACAAGAUUUCAUCUUGUUUUGCUGAGGAUGAUGCUGACAUGAAUUUCAGUUUCAGUAGAGGGAGGAUUCGAGAACUAAAUAUGUGACAAACUGAAGUAUCAAUCAGACUUUCCACUGACUGUUGCAGAGGCUGUGCAAAUUUUCAAGGUCUCAAAAUAUCUAUACUGUUGAAAAUUGAGGAAAACAGUUUUACUGAAAACUAAAAUCAUCAAGACGUGUGCAUUAGACUGCUGGACAAUCUUAAGUUACAGUGUUAUAUAAAUUGAAUCUAUACAGAAUAAUUGACAAUCGCGUAUUAUUUAGACAAAAUAUGUGCAAACACGAUUGAUUAAGAAGUGUCUGCUAGGUCAUUAAUCUAGAAUUUCAGCGAUUGGAAGAGUCAAAAAAUUAUUGUAAUAUUAGAAGCGGAUUAAUAAUAAAUUGUUGAAUAAAAUAAAUGAUACAUUGCAUUGCAA